AAUGUUGCGGAAGCGACGAUAAUAUUAAUAACAAUAUUAUCAGAAAUAUUUAGAUAAUUAUUAUGCCAACAAUUAUACUAAGAAAAUUCCCAGUUAAAUUGGAGGGGUCACAAUGGUCCCGCUUAAAACCCAACAACUAGACAGAACUCACUUAGAUAUUUAUAGCAAUAAUAACUAAAUAAAUAUAACCAACAUAAAGCUAUUAAAUAAAAGCAAACAAAUAAGAAAUAAAAUACCAGAGUUUUAACGAGGUUCGGCCAAUUUAGCUUACGUCCUCGGACACUACCAAAUUAAUAUUUCCUCUAGAAAUAUUACAAAGGAGAAGAUUUUUGGGAUGAUACAACCAAAGGGGGAGGGGUUCUAUAUAUAACAAACCAAACCCCCUCCCUUUCUAUCUUUUCCUAAUGUGGGAUAUUGCCAAUAUUCAACAAAUCUCCACCUUGGCGAUAUUCCACAUCUUCGAACAUCUUCUCAUAACACAAACUUCAAUAGUGUCUUCAAAUUUGCAACCAAUCGCCUUCUUCCCUUUUGGUAGUUGUGCCAGCUUCCACGUCUUGUUUUUCUCUAGAGAUUGCAUUUCCUCUUCCAUUGCACCUAACCAUCUAUUAUUCUCUAAACUCUGAAUGGCUUCGGUGUAAGUGGAUGGAAUAUUAUCAACAACUGGAAGUGCAUAAGCUACCAUGUCAGUGAAACGAGCAGGUUUCUGAAUUUCUCGUCUCUGCCUUCUGACUGCAAUUGGCUCUGAUUGCUGUUGAGGUUCUUGGGUAGAAACCUCUUCCUCAUCUGACUCUGCAUCUGCCAAUGAAGAAUCACUAGUGGUACCUUUUGCUGGAAUUACCACACUUUGCUCAAACUCCACCUGCUGCGGAGUACACUCCACCUGCUGCGAAGUACUACUCACUCCUUCUGGAUUUACCUUAUUCACCAUGGCAGAUUCAUGAAAGGUAACAUCCCUACUGAUUAUCGUCUUCUUUGCCUCUAGACACCACAAACGAUAUCCCUUAACACCAGCAUUGAAGCCCAUGAAUAGAGCCUUCUUUGCUCUUGGAUCUAACUUUGAUUCUUUCACAUGAUAAUAUGCAAUAGAACCAAAAAUGCGCAAGGUGUCAUAAUCAGUAGCAGGUUUUCCAUACCAUUUCUCCAAAGGAGUCUUGCCAUUUAUAGCAGAUGAUGGCAAAUGAUUGAUGAGAUGUUGAGCGUACGUCACAGCCUCAGUCCAAAACUUUCUAUCUAAUCUAGCAUUAGAUAACAUACAUCGAACUUUCUCCACAAGCGUUCGAUUCAUACGCUCUGCCACCCCAUUGUGUUGCGGUGUUCCACCUACGGUGAAGUGCCUUACUAUGCCACAAUCUUGGCAUAUCUUCAGGAAAGGAUCGCUUUUAUAUUCUCCACCGUUGUCUGAUCGGAGAACCUUAAUCUUCCUUCCUGUCUGAUUUUCAACUUUAGUUUUCCACUUAAGGAAAACUUCAAGCACCUCAUCUUUGUUCUUCAUAGGAAACACCCAAACUCGUCUGGAAAAAUCAUCAAUAAAGGUGACAAAAUAACGUCUUCCUCCAAGUGAUGGAGUCUUGGACGGUCCCCAUACAUCAGAAUGCACAUAAUCCAGAAUACCUUUAGUAUUGUGAAUCCCAGUGCCAAAUUUCACCCUUCGUUGUUUUCCCAGAACACAAUGCUCGCAAAAUUCAAGUUUGCAAGUCUUUGUACCUUUCAAUAAUCCUUGCUUGGCUAGAGUUUGCAAGGAUUUUUCACCAGCAUGGCCCAAACGCAUAUGCCACAGCUGUGUUGCCUCAGCGUCCUUCUUGGUACUCGUAAUUGCUGCUGCUGUUGUCCCGACCACUGUACUACCUUGGUAGUAAUACAGAUUGUUCUUUCUUAUGCCUUUCAACAUCACCAAUGCUCCUGAAGUUGCUUUAAGAACUCCAUCUCGUAUUGUCACAACUAGGCCUUUAGAUUCUAACGACCCCAAAGAGAUGAGAUUCUUCUUCAACUUUGGGACAUAUCGUACAUCCCGCAAAAUUCUAGUAGAUCCAUCAUGACUCCUCAGUUUAAUUGAACCUAUCCCGGCUAUUUUACACGUGUUAUCAUUACCCAUGUAAACAACCCCUUCAUCUAGUUUUUGAAAUUCAAAGAACCAUUCCCGAAUGGGACACAUAUGAUAGGAACAACCAGAAUCCAUGAUCCACUCAUCUGCAUAUAAUGUUGAAGAUGUCAUACUAAGAGAAAAGUCUGACUCUGCUUCACUAUUGCAUUCUGCAACAUUUGCAUCUUGCGGAGUCUUCCCUUUUUUCUUCAAUUUUGGACAAUCUUUCUUCCAAUGUCCUUUUUCUUUGCAAAAAGAACAUUCAUCUUUGGCAACAGCUCGACCUUUGGACUUUCUUCUCUUCCCCUUAGACUGACUUUGCUGACGACCUCUUGUUACCAAUGCUUCCACUGCUGCUUCACCUGAACCUUUCAACUUAUCCUUUCGGCGUAGUUCAUAGCUAUACAAUGCAGCAGUUACUUCAUUGAAAGUUACUUCCGAUUUUCCAUGAAGUAGAGUAGUUUCAAGGUACUCAAACUCCUCAGGAAGCGAUCCCAACAACAUUAACGCCAAGUCUUCGUCUUCAAAAGUCACAUCCAAAUUCAACAAAUCAGCCACCAGCUGAUUAAAAUUGGUAAUGUGCUCGUUCAUCGUGGUACCAGGAACAUAACUGAAACGAAACAGUCUUUUCUUCAUAUGUAACUUAUUUUGACUGUUCUUCUUCAGAAAUUUCUCCUCCAAUGCUUUCCACAAUUUACUUGCAGAAGUCUCUUUACUGAAUGUAUACUUCUGCUCUCUGGAAAGACAUGAUCGAAUUGUACCACAUGCCAAUCGGUUGAUGGUCUUCCAUUCUUUAUCAUCAACCCCUUCUGGUUUUUCUUCCUCAAUGGCAAUAUCUAGACCUUGUUGAAAGAGGGCAUCUAGAAGCUCGCUUUGCCACAUGCCGAAAUGACCUAUUCCAUCAAAAAUUUCCACUGCAAAUCUCGUAUUUGUAGUUCCAACCCUCGACAAGAUGUACGAGGUGGAAGUUGUUGCUGUGGAUGGUUUUUCUUCUGUCAUUUUUGCCAUAGCUUCUAUUUAAUAGCCACCAAAUGCAGAAUACCCACAAGCUUUAGGAAAUGUUUCUGAUGUGUAAGAUCAGACUAAGCUGCAAACACAGAGCAUACUACAAAACCUUGGCUCUGAUACCAAUUGUUGCGGAAGCGACGAUAAUAUUAAUAACAAUAUUAUCAGAAAUAUUUAGAUAAUUAUUAUGCCAACAAUUAUACUAAGAAAAUUCCCAGUUAAAUUGGAGGGGUCACAAUGGUCCCGCUUAAAACCCAACAACUAGACAGAACUCACUUAGAUAUUUAUAGCAAUAAUAACUAAAUAAAUAUAACCAACAUAAAGCUAUUAAAUAAAAGCAAACAAAUAAGAAAUAAAAUACCAGAGUUUUAACGAGGUUCGGCCAAUUUAGCUUACGUCCUCGGACACUACCAAAUUAAUAUUUCCUCUAGAAAUAUUACAAAGGAGAAGAUUUUUGGGAUGAUACAACCAAAGGGGGAGGGGUUCUAUAUAUAACAAACCAAACCCCCUCCCUUUCUAUCUUUUCCUAAUGUGGGAUAUUGCCAAUAUUCAACAU
rnacentral:lncRNA from 1 species